GCAUGAUGAGGUAGAUGUACCAAGUAAGCCCUUAACUGUGUUCCAUACCUUUUUAGAAUCAUUUUUACAAUCAAUAAAAACAUUGUUGUAAAAUAACUUUUUUUUCUUUCGAUUCAAUUUCACUACAUAAUUACGUAAUGUUCUAUAAUUCUGUUCAUCAAUUUAGAAUUUUGACUUGGCUGCUAAGACUUUUGCCAUAUUUCUUUGAGAAAAAGCCUUGGGGGGGUUAAAACACCCUGACUUUGUCUUUGUGCUUUCUUCCUUAUGUGGUGCUUUUCUUCUCCUCGAGCAUUUGUUAGACUUGGAAGCAGUCAGUCUUGCAGGUGAAGAACUUGGCUGCAUGUAAAGGUAUUCCUACAGAAAUAACUUCGCUGCAGGGGAACCAUGGGAACCAUCAUGCUGUGUGUUUAGUUGUUUCGUCUCGCUAAUCUGUCUGAAGUAAGGCGCAGCCUACUCCAUGGCCUAGAUCUUCCCCAAUACAAGUUCAAGACGACAUCAGUGCCAUGUUGGUCUAAGUAUAGGACCAAUCACAAUCAGCCUUAUGAGACCUUUGUCAGCAAAUACAAAAGGAGAUGAUAUCCAGUUUUACAGUUCCACAGAUGCUAAGAGGAAAAUGGAAGUCAAUGGUGAAGCAAGAGCUAGAGGUGAAGGAGUGAGAGGAAGAGGAGGAAGAGGAAGAUGACGAAGGACAGUUGUCUCAGAUGAGAUCAGGGCUACAUUGGUUGACCAUGUGCUCAACAAUGGAUUGAGUAUGAGGGAGGCUGGGCAGAGAGUUCAGCCCAACCCUGAGCCUCUACACGGUUGCAUCUAUCAUCUGUACAUUCAGAAAUGAGAACCGGUAAGUUACCUACAGUACCAUCUACAGUAUGCUCUUUAUGUACAGUGAGGGAAAAAAGUUUUUGAUCCCCUGCUGAUUUUGUAUGUUUGCCCACUGACAAAGAAAUUAUCAGUCUAUAAUUUUAAUGGUAGGUUUAUUUGAACAGUGAGAGACAGAAUAACAACAAAAAAAUCCAGAAAACGCAUGUUAAAAAUGUUAUAAAUUGUUCUGCAUUUUAAUGAGGGAAAUA
rnacentral:lncRNA from 1 species